GGAUAUGUGGCUCAGUUGAUAGAGAGCUUGCCUCUCAAGCCCAAGGCCCUGGGUUCAAUCCCCAGCACCACCA
rnacentral:tRNA from 1 species